rnacentral:rRNA from 1 species
GUCCACGCCGUAAACGAUGAUUACUAACUGUUUGCGAUAUAAUGUAAGUAGUACAGAGAAAUCGUUAAGUAAUCCACCUGGGGAGUACGUUCGCAAGAAUGAAACUCAAAGGAAUUGACGGGGCCCGCACAAGCGGAGGAACAUGUGGUUUAAUUCGAUGAUACGCGAGGAACCUUACCCGGGCUUGAAAUGCAGAGGAAUUACUUGGAAACAGGUACGCCAGCAAUGGUCUCUGUGUAGGUGCUGCAUGGUUGUCGU